rnacentral:rRNA from 1 species
GACGAACGCUGGCGGCGUGCCUAAUACAUGCAAGUCGAGCGGACCAACCAGGAGCUUGCUCUUGUUUGGUUAGCGGCGGACGGGUGAGUAACACGUGGGUAACCUGCCCGUAAGACCGGGAUAACUCCGGGAAACCGGAGCUAAUACCGGAUAACACCGAAGACCGCAUGGUCUUUGGUUGAAAGGCGGCUUCGGCUGCCACUUACGGAUGGGCCCGCUGCGCAUUAGCUAGUUGGUGAGGUAACGGCUCACCAAGGCGACGAUGCGUAGCCGGCCUGAGGGGGUGACCGGCCACACUGGGAACGAGACACGGCCCAGACUCCUACGGGAGGCAGCAGUAGGGAAUCUUCCGCAAUGGACGAAAGGCUGACGGGGCGACGCCGGGUGAGCGAAGAAGGUCGUCGGAUCGUAAAGCUCUGUUGUUAGGGAAGAAGAAGCGCCGUUCGAACAGGGCGGCGCGGUGACGGUACCUAACGAGAAAGCCCCGGCUAACUACGUG